UUCGCAAUGCCCGAAAGGGUGACGAAGCGACGCCGCGUGUGGGAAGAAGGCCUUCGGGUUGUAAACCACUGUCGGGAGUUAAGAAAUGCAAGGGUGCUAAUAGUAUCCUUGCUUGACUAAGGCUCCGGAGGAAGCCACGGCUAACUCUGUGCCAGCAGCCGCGGUAAUACAGAGGCGGCAAGCGUUGUUCGGAAUUAUUGGGCGUAAAGAGCACGUAGGCGGCUAUGUAAGUCGGUUGUGAAAGCCUUCCGCUCAACGGAAGAACAGCAUCCGAUACUGCAUGGCUUGAGUGCGGGAGGGGAGAGUGGAACUUCUGGUGGAGCGGUGAAAUGCGUAGAUAUCAGAAGGAACGCCGGCGGCGAAAGCGGCUCUCUGGCCCAUAACUGACGCUGGGUGUGCGAAAGCUAGGGGAGCAAACGGGAUUAGAUACCCCGGUAGACCUAGCCGUAAACGAUGGGCACUAAGUAGAGGGGUUUU
rnacentral:rRNA from 1 species